GGAUAACAUACCGAAAGGUAUGCUAAUACGGGAUAAUAUAUUUGAGAGGCAUCUCUUAAAUAUCAAAGGUGAGCCAGUACAGGAUGGACCCGCGUCUGAUUAGCUAGUUGGUAAGGUAACGGCUUACCAAGGCGACGAUCAGUAGCCGACCUGAGAGGGUGAUCGGCCACAUUGGAACUGAGACACGGUCCAAACUCCUACGGGAGGCAGCAGUGGGGAAUAUUGCACAAUGGGCGAAAGCCUGAUGCAGCAACGCCGCGUGAGUGAUGAAGGCCUUCGGGUCGUAAAACUCUGUCCUCAAGGAAGAUAAUGACGGUACUUGAGGAGGAAGCCCCGGCUAACUACGUGCCAGCAGCCGCGGUAAUACGUAGGGGGCUAGCGUUAUCCGGAUUUACUGGGCGUAAAGGGUGCGUAGGCGGUCUUUCAAGUCAGGAGUGAAAGGCUACGGCUCAACCGUAGUAAGCUCUUGAAACUGGGAGACUUGAGUGCAGGAGAGGAGAGUGGAAUUCCUAGUGUAGCGGUGAAAUGCGUAGAUAUUAGGAGGAACACCAGUUGCGAAGGCGGCUCUCUGGACUGUAACUGACGCUGAGGCACGAAAGCGUGGGGAGCAAACAGGAUUAGAUACCCUGGUAGUCCACGCUGUAAACGAUGAAUGCUAGGUGUCGGGGGUUACCCCCUUCGGUGCCGCAG
rnacentral:rRNA from 1 species